AGAUUGAACGCUGGCGGCAGGCCUAACACAUGCAAGUCGAGCGGUAGAGAGGUGCUUGCACCUCUUGAGAGCGGCGGACGGGUGAGUAAUGCCUAGGAAUCUGCCUAGUGGUGGGGGAUAACGUUCGGAAACGGACGCUAAUACCGCAUACGUCCUACGGGAGAAAGCGGGGGACCUUCGGGCCUCGCGCCAUUAGAUGAGCCUAGGUCGGAUUAGCUAGUUGGUGAGGUAAUGGCUCACCAAGGCGACGAUCCGUAACUGGUCUGAGAGGAUGAUCAGUCACACUGGAACUGAGACACGGUCCAGACUCCGUACGGGAGCAGCAGGUGGGGAAUA
rnacentral:rRNA from 1 species